rnacentral:rRNA from 1 species
UACAGAGGUCCCAAGCGUUGUUCGGAUUUACUGGGCGUAAAGGGUGCGUAGGUGGCGAGGUAAGUUCGAUGUGAAAUCUCCGAGCUCAACUCGGAAGUGGCAUUGAAUACUAUCCCGCUUGAGGGUCGGAGGGGAGACUGGAAUUCUCGGUGUAGCAGUGAAAUGCGUAGAUAUCGAGAGGAACACCAGUGGCGAAGGCGAGUCUCUGGACGACUCCUGACACUGAGGCACGAAAGCUGGGGGAGCAAACAGG